rnacentral:rRNA from 1 species
AGCGAACGCUGGCGGCAGGCCUAACACAUGCAAGUCGAACGAACUCUUCGGACUUUGUGGCGGUCGGGGGAGUACCACGUGGUAACGUGCCUUUACGUUCCGAAUCCCUCAGUGAAACUUGUCCUCAUACCGAAUGUGCCCUUCGGGGGAAAGAUUUAUCGCCUUUAGAGCGGCCCGCGUCUGAUUAGCUGGUUGGUGAGGUAAAGGCUCACCAACGCGAGGAUCAGUAGCUGGUCAGAGACGAUGCUCAGCCACAAUUGGGAUCAGACACAGCCCGAACUCCUACGGAAGGCAGGAGAGGGGAAUCUAGCGCAAUGGGCGAAAGCGUGACGAAGCCAUGCCGGGUGAAUGAUGAUGGUCUUAGGAAAGUGAAAUUGUUUCAGCGGGGGCGAUAAUGACGGUACCGGGAGAAGAAGCACCGGCUAACUACGUG